rnacentral:sRNA from 1 species
GCUGGGCGCAGUGGCGCGUGCCUGUAAUCUCAGCGGCUUGGGAGGCUGAGGCAGGAGGAUUGCAAGUUCAAAGCCAGUCUCAGCAAAAGUGGACUGCUAAGCAACUCAGUGAGACCCAGUCUCUA